rnacentral:lncRNA from 1 species
AUUCUCUCCUGCCUACCUAUUGACCACUCAGCUCUUUGUUAAAUCAACUAGAAAGUGCCCUGACAGAGACACAUCGUGUCCAAAAAGAUUAUCCCACAGUAGUCAGCGGUGUUUGUAGAUAUGUGGUGUUUUCUGAUGAAGUCUCUGACACGGAUGACAGUGACAUUGGAAUAUGGAAGUCCUGUACUCUGAGAAAGAUCACAUUUCUAGAUGAUGCUUUUGCCACUGAUUAACUGGAUCUGCAUGCUCAUUUGUUUGAAGAGUUGGUUCCCAGAUGGUGGCACUAUCUUGGGAGACUGAGAGACCUUUUGGACUUGGGGCCUAUUUACAGACUUGAGGAUACAGAAGUUGGCCUCAUAGCCCAUCCUCAGGUACAUCAUGAACUCUCUGCUUCCUGGAUGGUACCCUAUACCUCAUGCUCCCA